AAAAGGUGAUAGCGUCCGGGCCAAACAACUGCUUCAAGAAAUUGUCUACACUAAACGAAUUGUUCGUUGGUUUUCCAUUCUUCAAGUUUGAGCCAGACGGAUUCUGAGCGUGUAGCUACGGCAGAAGCUGAUAAAAACUGCUUCAAUAUUUAUUUUGAGUGAAAUACUAGCUUUGGAGCUAAUGUCAAUGAAUUAAAUUGGUUUAUAUUUUGUGUCUGAAAUACUAGUUUUCUGUAAUACAGUAUGAUAUUCUCACCAACUGCUUCAUACAAUAAUAGCUCCAUCUCUUGUAUUCAUAGCUCUUCUCUUUUGAACUCAACACAACAUGUUUUUGAUAAGUCCAAACAGUCAUGGAGCUUAAUUUCACAAACAUCCCAGAUUCACUCUGCAAGAGGAAUAAUAGAGAUGAGGCUUAAAGCAAAUGAUUAAGAAUGUACAUCAAAACAUAAUCGGUUGCAAAUUUAAGUAAAUGCAACUCUAUUUAAAGAUUAAAAUCAUCCUAGCAGAAUUGAUCAACAAAGAAAAUGCCAAGUCUUUGAUAUGCUCAUCAGUUGUGAACCCAUAAUUAUAAAAAGAAAAGCAAAAACAUUUCCAAUGAAUAUACGUAACAGGACUGAAAUAGUUCAGAAUCAUGCACAAGAUGAAAGGUAAUGAAAAUUGACAGAUCCAAUNAAAAAGAUAUGGGAUGCAUGAAUCUACAUUUUAGCUAAAAACUGAAAAUGAAAAGCAAAGUCGAACAUACACAUACUUCCUUCAGUGAUGAAAAAUAAAGCUUCACAACUUUGUAAGCAGGAUCGAGGUUAUCAAACUAUAUUCUGUAUCAAUACAAAAAAGAAUUAAUGGAAAAAAAAAAAAGCUAAGAUGAUGAUUCGCUGUAAAAAUAUAGUAAACAAACUCAAAAUAAUUAAAUCUCCUAUUGCAUGUUUAAGCAUAUUGAGAUGAAGUGCGGCACCAAACUAAGGGAUGAGAUCCAUGGUUCCACAAUUUUAUGUAUGUCACUAUAUUGCUUUCUUAUAGAACUUACUUGUAAGAUUCUAAUGGUGACGCAAAUUGAAACUUUGUUGUGUUAUUUGAUAUGCUCAACAUGCUUUCAUUGGUGUUGAUGGGAUUGGGUUCAACUCUGUUUCACUAUCUUCAUCUUCAACAUUGCUCUCUGAAUUUCACAUUUCAGCAUUAAGUAAUACCACUUUUGUGUCUAUGGGCAUAAAUAGUGAUGUGAAUUCUUAGUUUAGACAACUGUUUCUAUAGAUAUAGAAGUGAUCUACUCAAAAUGAUUGCUUACAAUGAUUAUUAAAGUUAAUUUGAGUCUUUGAGAAUCAUAUCAAUUGUGUAACAAAUUGGUAUGCAAACAUGCAUCUUCUUUAACCCUCGACAUAAUAAUCCUAUCAACUAAAGUUUAAACAAAGAAUACAUAUGGAAUUACAAAAAAAAUUAUGAAAAGAGGUUGAGCAAGUCGUAAUGAAGAAAAUGGAUACUCACUCAUUCCUUCUUCACUAGGUCGCUUGCUUCACCUCCUAAUUCUGUAGAAGCACCUCAAAGUCAAACACAACUGUUUGCUUCUUUUACUUUCUUCUGUUUCACUUUGUUCCCUUUCACUUAUUUCUCUUUCAGUAAUUAAUGGGAAAAGGCUGAAUCCACGAUUCGCUGUAAAAAAGUAGCAAACAAACUCAGAAUAAUUAAUCUCCUAUUGUUUAAGCAUAUUGAGUUGAAGUGGAACACCAAACUAAGGAUGAGAUCCAUUGUCCACGGUUUUAUGCAUGUGAUAUAUCUAUUAUUUUUAAAAUAUUUUUUAUACAAAUAACAUUAUAAUACUAUGAAUUAUUCUUAAUUAUUAUUUCAAAAAAAUAUUUUUUUACAAAAUUAUAUACCAUAAUUUAAGAAUUUUCAACCUAUUACUAUUAACUACUCUCUCCGUCCACUAAUUGUUGGCCUAAGAGGCAAAACACGGGUUUUAAGAAAAAGUGUAGUUUUAUUAGUUGAGUGGAGAAAGGGACCCACAAUUUAUUAAAGUCAAUGUAAUUAGGUCAUAAUUUAUUAAAGGGACCCACAAUUUUGAUUAAAAUAUGAAUAUAAACUUACCCAAAAUAGAUAGGACAUAAAUUGGUGGACGGACCAAAAAGGCAAGUAGGCCAACAAUUAAUGGACGGAGGGAGUAAUAAAAGUGAAAUUAAAUGAUUAAAAAAUAAUUAUAUACCUUAAUUAGAUAGAAUGAACUCUAAUUAAUAAUCACAAAAUUAAACUAAAUCACUAAAAUUUGAAAUUUGAGAAAAAUAUAUAAAAAAUAAAAAAAUUGAAAGUGGGACAUCAAGUGGGGUCGCUGAAUCUCAAUCCCCAAGCUAAUAGCAACUGAAUUAGAAUCUCUAUAAAAUAAGAUAAUAGAUUAUACUAAUUAGAAUUUUUUUNCAAAUAAAUACACAUGCAACUGUUUCUAGAAAAGAUAUUGAUACUCACGGUCGUCGGCGAUGCAUGAGGGGCCGGUCAUCAAUUU
rnacentral:lncRNA from 1 species